AUCUGGGCGGCGGAAUUCAGGACGGCUGGCGGGUCUCGCGCUCGUUCGGCCGUUUGAUAUUUCCGUCGCCGUGUCAGACGUCGCGACCUGUUCGUCGUCGGUCCUUGCUCGGAGGAAUUGCGAUCGAGUUCGUUGCGGGCGCGUUUCGGCGUGUCUCGCGGCGAAGACGCGACUCUCUGGCUGACGACGGACAGUAAGCAACGGUGUCCGGCGCCGUGUCUCGCACUCGGCGUCGGUGCCGGUCAGCGACGAUUUCUUCGGGCCUCUUUCCGACCCGUCUUGAAACACGGACCAAGGAGUCUAACAUGCGCGCGAGUCGCGGGGUUUCGAGCGUGCCACGGUGCGCUCGUUACUUCCGAAACCCGUACGUUGAAGGCGUAAUGAAAGUGAACAGGGAAGAUGGCGUUCCGAGUCCACGUACCGUGAUCGAGUAUCGCGGCCGGACGUCCGCACUCCCGGGGCGUCUCAAUGGCUCGCCACGGAUGCGGACGAUCGUCUCUCGGGGCGGUCGUCAGUCUGUGGCGGUCCGA
rnacentral:rRNA from 1 species